AGGAGCACAGAUUAUCUAGGUUCUUGUUGUAAGCUACUGAGGGAGACAUGCAGUGGCGCGCCCUCCUGGUCCUGGUGGUGGUGGUGGUGAUGGCGGCCUAUGCCAACGCUAAGGCGUGCUGCGGGGGAGGCAAUCACGGGGGAGGACACCACGGGGGAGGCUUCGGGGGCGGCGGCGGCUUCGGUGGUGGUAGCGGAGGUGGAUUCGGCGGCGGCCUGGGUGGCGGUGGAGGUUGGGGCAAGUAAAUUUUCAGCCGCUGACGACCCUCUAGAAGACAUCCCUUGGACACACAGCCCUCUCUCUGACAUCCUUACCCUUCCUUUCUUUCUUUCUCCUCCUCCUCUACUCAAUCCUUUUCCUCUAUCCUUUUUUACUCCUCCUCUUCCUUCUAUAUCUGCCUUUUCUGUAUCCUUCAUCCAGAGCUGAGGACGCCCAGAAAAAAAGAAAUUGGAGUCCUACAAAAUCACACUGAGUAGGAUUUCAUGUCUGUCUCUCUGUCUGUUUCUGUUCGUCUUGGAUAAAAGUGUUUCUUACAAAAAUAAAAAGGUUCAUUUUUUUUUUCGUUACAGCUGCUAAUUCUUCUUUGUUUGUCAAUAAAUAAUUGGAUUUGC